rnacentral:rRNA from 1 species
ACCGAGGAAAGUGGCGGACGGGUGAGUAAUGUGUAGAGAAUCUGCCCUAGAGCGGGGGACAACAGCUGGAAACGGUUGCUAAUACCCCAUAUGAGCGUAUCUGAAAUGGUAUUCUUGAAAACUCCGGUGCUCUAGGAUGAGUCUGCAUCUGAUUAGCUAGUUGGGGGUGUAAUGGACCACCAAGGCGACGAUCAGUAGCUGGUUUGAGAGGAUGAUCAGCCACAAUGGGACUGAGACACGGCCCAUACUCC